UACGAAGGGGGGCUAGCGUUGCUCGGAAUCACUGGGCGUAAAGCGCACGUAGGCGGCUUUUUAAGUCAGGGGUGAAAUCCUGGAGCUCAACUCCAGAACUGCCUUUGAUACUGAGAAGCUUGAGUCCGGGAGAGGUGAGUGGAACUGCGAGUGUAGAGGUGAAAUUCGUAGAUAUUCGCAAGAACACCGGUGGCGAAGGCGGCCUGCUGGGCAGUUGCUGACACUGAGGCGCGACAGCGUGGGGAGCAAACAGG
rnacentral:rRNA from 1 species